rnacentral:rRNA from 1 species
AGUCGCACGAGAAAGGGAGCAAUCCUGAGUAUAGUGGCGCACGGGUGGGUAACACGUGGAUGAUCUACCUCCUUGUGGGGAAUAACCCUGGGAAACCGGGGCUAAUACCGCAUACGUUCGAGAGAAGAAAGCCGAAAGGCGCAGGGAGAGGAGUCCGCGGUCGAUUAGCUAGUUGGCAGGGUAAUGGCCUACCAAGGCGACGACCGAUAGCCGGCCUGAGAGGGCACACGGCCACACUGGCACUGAAACACGGGCCAGACUCCUACGGGAGGCAGCAGUGGGGAAUCUUGCACAAUGGGGGAAACCCUGAUGCAGCGACGCCGCGUGAACGAUGAAGCCCUUCGGGGUGUAAAGUUCUUUCGACGGGGACGAUAAUGACGGUACCCGGAGAAGAAGCUGCGGCUAACUACGUGCCAGCAGCCGCGGUAAUACGUAGGCAGCAAGCGUUGUUCGGAAUCACUGGGCGUAAAGAGUGCGUAGGCGGUUAACUAAGUUUGGUGUGAAAUCUCCCGGCUUAACUGGGAGGGUGCGCCGAAAACUGGCUAGCUAGAGUGUGGGAUAGGAUAGUGGAAUUCCUGGUGUAGCGGUGAAAUGCGUAGAUAUCAGGAGGAACACCUGCGGUGUAGACGGCUAUCUGGACCAUGACUGACGCUGAGGCACGAAAGCGUGGGUAGCAAACAGGAUUAGAUACCCUGGUAGUCCACGCCCUAAACGAUGCAAACUUGGUGUGCGCCCUUCAUUG